UACGUAGGGAGCAAGCGUUGUCCGGAAUCAUUGGGCGUAAAGCGCGCGUAGGUGGCUUCGUAAGUCCGUUGUGAAAGUCAAAGGCCCAACCUUUGAAAGCCGAUGGAUACUGUGAAGCUAGAGUACGGAAGAGGCGAGUGGAAUUCCUGGUGUAGCGGUGGAAUGCGCAGAUAUCAGGAGGAACACCAAUAGCGAAGGCAGCUCGCUGGGACGUUACUGACACUUAGGCGCGAAAGCGUGGGGAGCGAACAGG
rnacentral:rRNA from 1 species